GACGGCAUCCUCAAAAAUUGAAAAAAAAAGAGGUGCAAAAAUAUGAAAAAAUUGGCAUAAAAUGGAGGCAGAGGCGGUACUUGUAUCGUGCUCACCUUCGAUAAACAAAUUGCCAAGACAAAACGGAUGCGAGUGCCCAGUGGGCCAAUUUUGGUAAGCAGAACUGGCGCUGUGGGAUGAACCAAACGCCGGGUUACGGCGCCCGAUGCGGACGCUCAUCAGACCCCAUGAAAGGUGUUGGUUGCUAUAGACAGCAGGACGGUGGCCAUGGAAGUCGGAAUCCGCUAAGGAGUGUGUAACAACUCACCUGCCGAAGCAACUAGCCCUGAAAAUGGAUGGCGCUCCAGCGUCGAGCCCAUACCCGGCCGCCGGCGGCAGAAAUUCGCAGACGGAUGUCGCGGAUGCCUCUCGUGGGUUCCGCACGCCGUCGAUGCGGAAGAGAAGCCCCGGUGAGUAGGAGGGUCGCAGCGGCGAGCGUUGAAGGUGUCGGGCGUAGGCCCGCCUGGAGCCGCCGCUGGUGCAGAUCUUGGUGGUAGUAGCAAAUACUCGAGUGAGAACCUUGAGGACUGAAGUGGAGAAGGGUUCCAUGUGAACAGCAGUUGAACAUGGGUCAGUCGGCCCUAAGGAAUAGGGGAAACCCGUUCCGAAGCGUGGGGAAAAAUGACAGAAAUAAAUGCAAAGCCAAAAAAACGAAAUGUGAAACACGGACACACGCUGAAUCCAAGUGGGAAUGCUUCCUCGUGAAGAGUCACUUUUGCGCGUGAAGUAGAAAAAGAGAGCACGAAGUGGGAAUGCUUCCUCGUGAAGAGUCACUCGAUGCAAUCAUUGGCACAAAAAUAAAGCAUUAUGAAAAAUGAAAAACCCCCGAAAGACCGAAAGGGAAUCGGGUUAAUAUUCCCGAACCCGGACACGGAGAUCGGCCCUUCGGGGCCCAUUGCGGUAACGCAAACGAACUCGGAGAAGUCGGCGGGAGUCCCGGGAAGAGUUGUCUUUUCUUUGUAAGGGACGGACUCCCUGGAAUCGGUUCGCCCGGAGAGAGGGAUGUUGUUCCCGUAAAGCACCGCGGCUCUUGCGGUGUCCGGAGCACUCCUGCCGGCCCUUGAAAAUCCGAGGGAGAGAAAAUGAUUUUCGUGCCGGACCGUAUCCCAUAUCCGCA
rnacentral:rRNA from 1 species